CCAAUAGCGUAUAUUAAAGUUGUUGCAGUUAAAAAGCUCGUAGUUGAAUUUCGGGAUCAAGUCGUCGGUCGUGCCUCGGUACGCACUGGUGACAUUGGUUUCUCCCUUCUGAAGAACCUUGAUGUCAUUAAUUUGGUGUCUUGGGGAAUCAGGACUGUUACUUUGAAAAAAUUAGAGUGUUUAAAGCAGGCUCACGCUUGAAUACAUUAGCAUGGAAUAAUGAAAUAGGACGUUUGAUUCUAUUUUGUUGGUUUCUAGGAUCGACGUAAUGAUUAAUAGGGAUAGUUGGGGGCAUUAGUAUUCAAUUGUCAGAGGUGAAAUUCUUGGAUUUAUUGAAGACUAACUACUGCGAAAGCAUUUGCCAAGGAUGUUUUCAUUAAUCAAGAACGAAAGUUAGGGGAUCGAAGACGAUCAGAUACCGUCGUAGUCUUAACCAUAAACUAUGCCGACUAGGGAUCGGGUGAUGUUAAUUUUUUAAUGACUCAUUCGGCACCUUACG
rnacentral:misc_RNA from 1 species